UACGUAGGGGGCAAGCGUUGUCCGGAUUUAUUGGGCGUAAAGCGCGUGUAGGCGGCCAGGUAGGUCGGUUGUGAAAGCCCUCGGCUCAACCGAGGAAGUGCGCCCGAAACUGCAUGGCUUGAGUACCGGAGAGGAUGGCGGAAUUCCCCAAGUAGAGGUGAAAUUCGUAGAUAUGGGGGAGGAACACCGGUGGCGAAGGCGGCCAUCUGGACGGAUACUGACGCUGAGACGCGAAAGCGUGGGGGAGCAAACAGG
rnacentral:rRNA from 1 species